rnacentral:tRNA from 1 species
GCCUGCCUGGUUCAGUUGGAGGAGUGUGUGACUCUUGAUUUCAGGGUCGUGGGUUCAAGCCCCACGUUGGGUG